GAUGAACGCUGACAGAAUGCUUAACACAUGCAAGUCAACUGUGGCGGACGGGUGAGUAACGCGUAAAGAACUUGCCUCACAGAUAGGGACAACAUUUGGAAACGAAUGCUAAUACCUGAUACUGUGAGAGAGCUUUGCGUCCCAUUAGCUAGUGGGAGAGGUAACGGCUCACCAAGGCGAUGAUGGGUAGCCGGCCUGAGAGGGUGCUCGGCCACAAGGGGACUGAGACACGGCCCUUACUCCUCCGGGGGGCCGCGUUGGGGAAUAUUGGAACAAGGACCAAAUUCUGAUCCAGCAAUUCUGUGUGCACGAUGAAGUUUUCGGAAUGUAAAGUGCUUUCAGUUGGGAAGCGGUACCAACAGAAGAAGUGACGGCUAAAUACGUGCCAGCAGCCGCGGUAAUUC
rnacentral:rRNA from 1 species